AUUUAUUUCAACAAGCAUGAAGAUAGGUAACUAAUUUCACAGAUUUAUAUGUACUUGAGCAUCCUAACAACAAAGACGAUCUGGAGGGAAUAAUUUUUCUUAAACAAUGAAAAAGAUAAUAGGUUAUUUCUGAAAAUAUGUAUUUAUGAUCAGUACAAAAAGUUUGAGGAAAUAAUUUCCCCUUUCGGUUAAUAGUUUAAGUUAAUUACAACUGAGUAUAUUUUUUUAUAUAUAAAUCAACUGUAAAGAUUAAAAAACAACACUUUUACAAAAGUUUAAUCACAUUUUCAAUAUCACAACCUUUGAGAAUUUCAGUUUUCUUACUCUUUUACUUAUUUGAUCUUUCUGUAAUUUUAAUAUUAAGUAAUGAUUUUUAAUUUAACUUAUA
rnacentral:lncRNA from 1 species